rnacentral:rRNA from 1 species
GACGAACGCUGGCGGCGUGCCUAAUACAUGCAAGUUGAGCGCUGAAGGUUGGUACUUGUACCAACUGGAUGAGCAGCGAACGGGUGAGUAACGCGUGGGGAAUCUGCCUUUGAGCGGGGGACAACAUUUGGAAACGAAUGCUAAUACCGCAUAAAAACUUUAAACACAAGUUUUAAGUUUGAAAGAUGCAAUUGCAUCACUCAAAGAUGAUCCCGCGUUGUAUUAGCUAGUUGGUGAGGUAAAGGCUCACCAAGGCGAUGAUACAUAGCCGACCUGAGAGGGUGGUCGGCCACCUUGGGACUGAGACACGGCCCAAACGCCUACGGGAGGCAGCAGUAGGGAAUCUUCGGCAAUGGACGGAAGUCUGACCGAGCAACGCCGCGUGAGUGAAGAAGGUUGUCGGAUCGUAAAACUCUGUUGGUAGAGAAGAACGUUGGUGAGAGUGGAAAGCUCAUCAAGUGACGGUAACUACCCAGAAAGGGACGGCUAACUACGUG